AGUGAACGCUGGCGGUAGGCCUAACACAUGCAAGUCGAACGGCAGCACAGUAAGAGCUUGCUCUUACGGGUGGCGAGUGGCGGACGGGUGAGGAAUACAUCGGAAUCUACUUUUUCGUGGGGGCUAACGUAGGGAAACUUACGCUAAUACCGCAUACGACCUACGGGUGAAAGCAGGGGAUCUUCGGACCUUGCGCGAUUGAAUGAGCCGAUGUCGGAUUAGCUAGUUGGCGGGGUAAAGGCCCACCAAGGCGACGAUCCGUAGCUGGUCUGAGAGGAUGAUCAGCCACACUGGAACUGAGACACGGUCCAGACUCCUACGGGAGGCAGCAGUGGGGAAUAUUGGACAAUGGGCGCAAGCCUGAUCCAGCCAUACCGCGUGGGUGAAGAAGGCCUUCGGGUUGUAAAGCCCUGUUGUUGGGAAAGAAAAGCAGCAGGUUAAUACCCCGCUGUUCUGACGGUACCCAAAGAAUAAGCACCGGCUAACUUCGUG
rnacentral:rRNA from 1 species